rnacentral:lncRNA from 1 species
AAUUUAAUGGAGCUCUUAACCUUAAUCAUUAAAAUAAAUAAAUAGUAGUGAUUGAGGUACAAUAGAAAUGGAUAAAAAUCAAGAACAAUUACGGUGAUAGCUUUCACAUCACAUGAGUAGAAAAUAUUUAUAAAAAGAAAUGGAGAUGAUUCCUCAUUCCUCAAACAACAAUCAUCAAAAUAAUUUAAUGGAGCUCUUAACCUUAAUCAUUAAAAUAAAUAAAUAGUAGUGAUUGAGGUACAAUAGAAAUGGAUAAAAAUCAAGAACAAUUACGGUGAUAGCUUUCACAUCACAUGAGUAGAAAAUAUUUAUAAAAAGAAAUGGAGAUGAUUCCUCAUUCCUCAAACAACACUUCACCUUUCAAGAUUGCUUUUUCUUCUUUCUCAUCAUGUUUUGUGAAUAAUGAGGAUGAAACCUGAAAGGCUGUAAAGUGUGGCCAAAGCAACCUAUGCUCAUUUUAUAUAUAUACACACACAGAGCACAUAUUUUUCAAAGAUUCUUCCGUAUUGAACCCUUUAUUUUUUCAUUAUAGCCUUUCAAUAAUUGUAUCCGUUUGAGUAGGGCUAGAGCUCCACGAUUAUUCUAUAGCUCGUACUGAUAGGCACUCAUACCUCUUUAAGUCUUGAAUUGAGAAAUACUUCUGUAUGUAACUCCACUAUGCGCAUUUACUUUUCUUUUUUUUUUUU